rfam:Schistocephalus solidus strain NST_G2 genome assembly, scaffold: SSLN_scaffold0011915
GGUUCGGUGGUGUAGUGGUCAUCACGUCUGCUUUACACGCAGAAGGUCCCCGGUUCGAACCCGGGUCGAACCA